rnacentral:ncRNA from 1 species
GGGAUGGGAGAAAGGAAUGAUGCUUAGAAUUCCCCCAGGCAGGUUGGAAGGCUUGAAUAAUGUGAGAAGCCCUUGGGACAUACAUAUGUCCUUUCUCUCUCCUUUUUUU